rnacentral:pre_miRNA from 1 species
AUCAUUUUGUAUCAGUGCUAAAAGAUUUUGUCACACAUCAGUCCACAAGAGGUGAUGAGACUUCCAAGAUAAGUGAAGCG